CAAGAGAAGGAGUCAGUGAGGAUUGUCCUCAUAUAUUAAAAUUAAGAGAACGCAGUUGAUGCGGGUGACGUAUUAACACCUCUUCUUAAAGGUCGAACAGACAUAGCUGAUUGUGUAGAAAAUCAGACACUGACCCAUGACAUCGUGAAGUGAUCUGCGUUACAUUGGCUUGACCAGUUUUACUCUGAACCCAUGAUAAAUGACAAGAAAUUGAUAGAUGAUGCCACAACCCAGAGAGGAAAGAACAUAUGCUGAACAUUUUUUAUCUUUAUUAAUUUGUUGUCUUCAACAAUUUUCCAUCACAAAAACCCUAUUAUUAUCACAUGACCUCUGUGUUUACUGAAAUAUGGAAGGUUAUUUGGGUAGAAUUUUACAAAUUAGAGACAUAGCAGAUUUGUACUAGAUUAAGAUCACAGACGACCUCCACAGUUUCCCUGAUGAUGCUAAUCCCAUGCGAAUAUGGCUUUAAACUGCAGCAAUUCAAAUCCCUCACAAUAAUGACAGCCCUGAAAACAACUAAACUGUGUUUGUUGUGAAUAUAAUUCACAUACAGUAAGUGAAAGUCCAGCUAUAUUUAACAUGUGAUUCUCAGCUGUGAGAAACAUUCAGCUGUUUUUACAAACUCUCCCUCUCUUUUGUAUAAUGUAUGAGUAUAUUAGCAUUGGUGUCUGUGCAGAUUUAGACUUUCAGAUGUGACCUUUGUUGUCUAAAUGUCAGGGAGAUUGGAGAGGGAGCCCACAGAGGUAACGCAGGCUUAUGUAAUCUGCUCACUCUGCGUUUCACACACACAUGCACACACACAAGCACAGAGCAGGAAAAAAAAAAAGAAGCUUGUUUGAGGACGGUUGUCAUAUCUCAGCUGUGAUGCCUCGUACAGCUCUCUGCAAUUCACUGAAAGCCUGGCUUUCAGGAACCUUUGCUUUUAUCAGCAUGUAUGUGCAGAAAGUGGCCUGGAAAUUAUUUAUGGCUUUAAAAAUACUGAUACAGUGCACUCCUUUGGUGUUAUUCUUUUAAACUUAUUCUGGGGUCUUUUGAUCCAUCUUAGAGCUCUCAGCUGAAUGUGAAGACAGUGCAGUUUGGAGAGGGCUUUUUGUGUCUGUGCAUGCUAUAUGGUUGACUUGGUGCUGACUGGAUCAGGAGUGCUGGGACUGAACUGAACUGAUUCCCCUGCAUGAAUUAAUUCAUGAUCAUGUGGCGCUCUCUUAACAUGCCCACAAUGAGAGGCACCAGGACAAGUGCUGCAGGCUGGCAAUGCGCUUAUGUGUAAUACGGUAUUCACCUUAAGUAUGUGAGGCUGAAAUAACUAUGUGCAUGCCAAUGACAAACACAUGCAUCAGAUGAGAGCUGGAGUCAUUGUGUCCUGUCACUCAAAACACUUGUAGCACAGAGCCAUAAAGAAAUACUGCACCCAAAAGCAAUUCAGAAACAUGCUACGUGUCAGCUGUUGUCAAAACCAAUUAACAAUGGUUUCAGUUGAUUCCAACAGCAGUUUUGUGGCAAAAAUCGUACCCAAGUGCCCACAGAAACUUCUCAGAACACUCUUCAGCCACAACUCCCUUUCCUGGUAUCUAUCCAAAUGCUCAGUUUUGUUCCAAACACUCCUAUUUUUGACAAAAGGAAUCAACUUGCAACUAAACUUGUUUAUGUUGGCCCUGAGCACUAAAAGCUAACCAAGCUAGCAGCAACUGCACAAUGUUUAUUUAGCCAUAUGCCAGUGUGAAUGUGACACUUUGGAACAUAUUGAGCAUAUGGAAUGGCAGCCUCAGGGAGGGUUUGAGCAGUUUCUACUGACAUUUUGAUACCUUUUUCAUGCCAUGAAGCUGGGUUGAAUUAUUCAAGGGAAUAAUGUCUUCAUACGUCAUUGCUUGACUUCAUUUGUGACCUUUAAAAUUAUAUUGGGCCAAAAUGAUAUUGGAUGUGACAGUUGGGGGGAGUUUGAAUGUGUAUGAAACUUAGGAAAUUUUAAGAGACAUUUCUUUUGUAUGUGCGUGUACAACUUAAUGUCUUUCUCUACUCUGUCACAUGAUUACCACAUUAGUGCACAGCACUUUUCCUGGGGGCCUGGAAAUGAGAUUCACCAUAAGUACUGGGCACACCUCAGUGCCUGCGAAUAUCUUUUUCUGUUCCACAAAUUACUGUAGUGUUUUUUGGUGUUCUUUUUUUUAGACUGCAGAUACACACACCCUUAAGUUGUGGUUUGGAACUGUCCAUGUUUCAACUGUUAGCUGUGUUUUGAUGUACUUUCAUUUAUUCAGAAAAGCUUUUCUGAGCCCCAAAGUGUUUUGUUCCUUUCAUUUAGUUAUUCACCUGCAUAUCUGGAGGUUGUCUCUGCAACCACAUACUGAUUUAUGGGACACUACGGAGGUCCACUGGGGCAGUUUGUGGUUAACCAGGUUGCAUUAACCAGUUGAAAUCCAUCAUGCAUUUCCCUACCUAUGUUUUAAGUGUAUAGAUCCUGGUUUGAGUGCAUGUGUGCUCACAUCAGCCUACAGGAUUAAAGUUAUUAUCAAAAUGUAUCCACAAAAUGCUGCUGAGCUAGUAGUAACUUUAGUGAGUAUAGUAGUAGUGAGCGUCUUCGAAACUGUCGUGUUCGCAACUUGAAAAUGGGUAAGAGGAAGAAACGCCCGGGUGGUGCUGAGAAACAGCGAUUAAAAAAGUUGAAGUCUCUGGAGGUGGAGGCUUCUAAAUGUGCGAAGUUGAUGGACCUUUUUGGUGCCGGGACCACCAACCUGCCAGCAGCCACAGGUGCUGCUGCACCGAGAGACGAGGGAGGAGGACCUAAUGAUGACGAGUGAGUGGAGGCAGACAUGGUUGUUCUGAUAUAUUUGAGGAAUCGUUCUCCCUCUGGUCUGUAUGUGGACCUGUUCUCUCAUUUCGGACCACUGUUAGAAUUUGACCACUUGACACUGAGGAGUUGUUCCCCCUCCGUCCAUGUUCCAGGACUUGCUCUCUCUCUCUGCCUCCAUUCUCUGCCUUUACUGCACUAAAGAUUAGCUGUUGACUCUCCUGUAGUAUAGUCAUUAAUUUGAUGAGGAGUGGAGCUGGCUGGCUGCGGACGAGGAAGUAGGGCAAUACAUACUUGUGCACAUACACGUAUGUGAGAAUGCAUAUCUAUUCAGACCUGUGAUUCUUAGACUUUUUCACACAGCUAUAGAUAUAUAUAUAUAUAUAUUUUUUCAAUUCUCUAUUUAUGGUUUCAUAAUGACUGAGUCACUGUUAAUACAAAUGAGUUCCAGCUCUAAUGCUGCUACUGUCUGUAAUAUGUUUCUAUUUAGAUUAUUUGUCAGGAUAUUUUGUUAUUAUUGUCCCUGUUUGUCCUUAUCUCCCUGUUCCUCCACCCAACUGGUGCAGGUAGCACCCACCCCAAGUCUGGUUUUGGGUUCUUCCCGUCUCGUCCCACCCCUUGUUAUAACUUCUGUUGUGAUUUGAUACUAUAAUGAAUAAAGAUUAAUUGGUUUAUUGCCAUA